UCAAUCUAUACUACAAAUUUAUUUUGUCAUUUAAAAAAAAAAAAAAAAUCUUUAUCUCUAAUUUCACGGCAAUGCCCACGAUGCCGUUUGCCAUCGGAAACUGCCGUUAACCUUUGGCCACAUGGGGCCGUUUUCUAUCAACCACAUCAGCGUUCAACGUCUCGACCUCUUCUCUGUUCAAUCACUAAUGAACUAAGUAUUGAAUCUAAAAUUAUCAUCUCGGAGGAAUAGUAGCAUUGGGAAAGUUUGAUGCCCUUCACAUUGGUCAUUGAGAACUUGCAAUUCAAGCAGCAAAGUUUGGACCUCCAUUUCUUUUUUCGGUUGUUGGAAUGGCAGAGGUGCUAGGUUGGGAACCUAGUUAAUACAGAAAGCAAGGAGGAUGAGAGAGAGAGAGAGAGGCUAUGCAAAAUCACAAGUAUUUUAUCAUAGGUACG